UACGUAGGGUGCGAGCGUUGUCCGGAAUUAUUGGGCGUAAAGAGCUCGUAGGCGGUGUGUCACGUCGUUCGUGAAAACCUGCAGCUUAACUGUGGGCGUGCGGUCGAUACGGGCAUCACUGGAGUUCGGCAGGGGAGACUGGAAUUCCCGGUGUAGCGGUGAAAUGCGCAGAUAUCGGGAAGAACACCCGUGGCGAAGGCGGUUCUCUGGGACGGUACUGACGCUGAGACGCGAAAGCGUGGGGAGCGAACAGG
rnacentral:rRNA from 1 species